GUGCGUGUGUUCAUUCAUGUGUGAGUUACGCUGUGUGCACGGGCUGUGCCGUGUGUGUGUUUUAUGGCAUGUGCGUUUGUGUUACACCGUGCAUGUAAGGCCAUGUGUGUGUUACAGUGUGUUAGGCCGUGCAUGUGAUGCUGUGUGCUCGUGUGUGUCGCCCAGUGCCCAGUGUGCCUGCACAUGUUGUGGCGUGCGUGUGUUACACUGUGGCCACUCCAAAAGCCAGUGUAGGAGGGACAUCGUAAGAUUUUUUUUGUACAUAUAAGCACUUUUCUCUGCUCCCCAGCUCCUUCUUCUCCAGUCCAACUUACUCAUUUCAGCCUGGUCUUCCUGCUCGCUCCUGCCACAUUAUCCCAUUUUUUUUUUCAUUCACGUAUUUGCAGCCCUACAUAGUUUUCUUAUCUAACCCCCAGUCUCCAAGCACAGUGUUUCCAGGUUCCCCAUUAACUCCACAACUGGUUUCCCCCCUCUCUUUGCUCACAGCUCCUCGUCACCAGCCAGUGUCCAGCCAGCCAGCCUCAUUGUUACAGUUCUGAUCAUUUGUGGCUAAGUUUCCCUUAGUUUCCCUCCCUGAGGAAACUCACAGAGGGGAGGAUGUUGUUACUCUGCAGCCUGACGGAUAAUCCCACACAGAAUCACUGAAUCAAUUAGGUUGGAAAAGACCUCUGUGAUCAUUGAGUCCAGCCUAUGACUGUUCAUAACCUUGUCAACUAGACCAGAGCACGUCCAGGCUUUCCUUAAACUUCUCCAGGGAUGGUGACUCUACCACCUCCUUUGGCAGACCCUUCCAAUAUCUGAGCACCCUUUCUGUGAAAAAAAAUCCUCCUGAUGUACAGCCUAAGCCUUCACUGGCACAUCCUGUCGCUGGUUGCUGGGCGAAGAGGCUGAUCCCUGCCUGGCUAAAACUUCCUUUCAGAUUGCUUCGCCAAACAGAAGUACUGGCAUGCUAAAAUCCUUUUUGGGGCUCUGAGCAAGCUAGACCAGAAUGUUACCAUGGCAGUAUUAAAAUUAAAUUGCACAUAUUUCUGAGCUGCCACUUCUGACCAAACUCUCUGCUGAUACUGGUUGUAUCAUAUGAAGCACUAUACAAGUAUGUUAUGGCUGUUGCCUUCCAGAUGUGUGUAUAUUUGCGUAGAAGCUAUCCUGAUGAAAUCAAGGCAAGAACUUGUUUAUAAAGUAGACUUACUGAGGUCUGCUGGAUGGUGGGUUUUAUGUGGAAACUUAUUCUUAAGUGCUUUCUAUGUGAUGGAAAGAAAAUGGACUUAAUAGUUUUCAAAACACAGUAGUAAUACUAGAAGCAUUAUUUAAAGCACGUCAUUUAAAAAUAAAAAUUAGUUUACAUUACUACUUAGUUGGAAAUUUCAAAAAUUAUCUUCUGUUGUAGAGUGCAGAAAUCCCUGAAAUAAUUUUUCCUGUACAGUAGCCUUUGAAGUGUACAUCUGUAUUUUAAAUAAUCCUCUUGAUUAUUCAAGUCUUAUUCAGAAUAUGUUUCCAAGUAUGUCUAGAGAACAUUUAACAGGGAUUAUAUACUGUAUUAGUGUUGAACAUAUAAUCUGUAUUCUGAUAAAUUAUUCUUAAAGGAA